UACGUAGGGGGCAAGCGUUGUCCGGAAUCAUUGGGCGUAAAGCGCGCGUAGGCGGCCCGGUCAGUCCGUUGUGAAAGUCAAAGGCUCAACCUUUGAAUGCCGACGGAUACUGCCGGGCUAGAGUCCGGAAGAGGCGAGUGGAAUUCCUGGUGUAGCGGUGGAAUGCGCAGAUAUCAGGAGGAACACCUAUAGCGAAGGCAGCUCGCUGGGACGGUACUGACGCUGAGGCGCGAAAGCUAGGGGAGCGAACAGG
rnacentral:rRNA from 1 species